UGGGGUAUAUUGCACAAUGGGCGCAAGCCUGAUGCAGCCAUGUCGCGGGUGUGAAGAAGGCCUACGGGAUGUAAAGCACUUUCAGCGGGGAGGAAGGCGAUAAGGUUAAUAACCUUGUCGAUUGACGUUACCCGCAGAAGAAGCACCGGCUAACUCCGUGCCAGCAGCCGCGGUAAUACGGAGGGUGCAAGCGUUAAUCGGAACUACUGGGCGUAAAGCGCACGCAGGCGGUUUGUUAAGUCAGAUGUGAAAUCCCCGGGCUCAACCUGGGAACUUCAUCUGAUACUGGCAAGCAUGAGUCUCGUAGAGGGGGGUAGAAUUCCAGGUGUAGCAGUGAAAUGCGUAGAGGUCUGGAGGAAUACCGGUGGCAAAGGCGGCACCCUGAACGAAGACUGACGCUCAGGUGCGAAAGCGUGGGGAGCAAACAGG
rnacentral:rRNA from 1 species